UAAAAAAUAUAGAAGAAAAAAAAACGUGUUAAAGUUUCCUAAAGCUUAUAUUUGUAAUAAUUCAUUUCAUGACUCUAAAGUAGAAUAUUUAGAAGAUUUCUAAAACCAUCUAAAAGGUUCAGCUAGAAUCUUUGUCUCUAUUUCCUUUGUAAGUGUUGUUUAUGUUCUGUAAGUAGUGUAAUUGCUAGUUUCUAAUGUACAGAAUAAAUGUUGUGUGGGGGUCCGUAAUGAUUUGAAGGGAGAAGAGUGGAGAAGAGAAGAAAAGAGAGAGUGAGGAAGAUGAGGAGGAGGCGUAUGAACGACGGAGGCUGGAGAGGAAGCUAUGUGAAAAGGAUGCAGCCUAUCAGGAGAGCACUGCUUCUAUCUCUGGAGCUCUGUAGUCUCCUGCUUCUGGAUCAUCUGCCCUUCUUUAUUCUCAAAUACUGGACAAACAGAACUGUGCUUGAAACCAAACACAGUAAGAUACUGUGAUGUUUGUCUUUUGCAGCGGCUGAAGAACUGGGAGAUCAGAGAGAGGAAAAAAGCAAAGGAUUACAGU